rnacentral:lncRNA from 1 species
CAUUCAUGUAAUUCAUUUUAAGCUUAGAAAAAUCACUUUGGCAGCCUUUUGGAGAAUGAGCUGGAAUUGGGAGAUACUUGAGUCAGAGGGACCAAUUAGGAGACUGUUGCAAUAUUUUAUGUGAGAAGUACUGAGGAUCUACCUGAAUGAGCGUUGUGACAGUAUGGAUAAAGAAGAGAUAAAUACAAGACACUGUAGAGGUGAACAAAGCAUCCCACAUAGAUAGAAGCCAUCAACCAAAAAGAAACUUUGCACAGUAAAGUGUUAAGCAAAACACCAUUAAAUACCAGGCAAAAUAAGCUUUUUACAGAAUCACACAGCCAUUGAAACUCAAGGAGGAAGAAAUGAGACCAAGCACUUAUUAGGCAUCUGUUAUGUACCAAGCACUCUGGUAAGCACUUUACAAAUAUUCUUUCAUUUGAACUCACAACAUCCCUAUGAAGUAAGUCCUAUCAGGAUUCCCAUAUUGUA